AUAUACUUUGAGAUGAGGAAGAUGAACAUACAGGGUAAAACCAAGAAAAGGAACUGGUUGAUCCAAAACCAUUUUCUUCUGAGAUAUGGACCGAAGCCCACACACCUUACACCUUCCUGCUCAUACUGAUGAUCCCUAUUCUGCAACAAAUGCAUAGUUUGGCUUUGGUACAAAAUUAGAGUCCUCAUAACAUGAGAUGAAAGAUCCUGAGGCCCUUCUUGCGAGAACUGUUAUGAACUCCUCUGUUGUGCUUCAAACCUAAAUAAUUCUACUCUUUUUUUUCAAAGAAAAUUCCUCAUAGCUUUAGCCAAAAUCAUUCUUCACUUCCUCUGCUGGCUUCUCUUGAAUGGUGGGUGAAGAGAGGUCACAGGUAUGAAGCUGCCUGGGAUUCUUCCAGGCUGCUGAUUAUUGAUAUGCAAACCAACAGUCACCACUGCAGACUAAAACAAAAUGUGAAACAGGCUUUUAAAAGAAAAGUCUGUCCAGGUAUCAUUUUAGGUUGUAAGAAAGGUUAAUUCUCCAAUUUGUUGAUCAGGGCUUGCUAGGAGGACUGACCAGACCUCAGUGUGAUCACAUCAGUGGUCCUCACCUGAAAGUGAAACCUGAAGGCUUGGGUUGCUCAAUGCUGCCAUAGGAAGGCACAGACUUUGAAAGCAGCAACUCCUUCCUCUUACAAAUUUGCAGUGUAUUCUCCCUUUUUCCACUCUGUACCACUGAGCAUGAUGAUGGAAGCUGGAGGAAACUUUUGUUUGUUUCUCUGUUUUGUUUUGUUUUUCCCUGACUUUAUUUUUGAGAUGUUAGUUACAUUAUUUGAGGGUGUGUAUGAGAUUCUGGAAGCACAAUUUACAUCUGCUGUGCUGUGAGAUCCUUGGUAUGGUAUUGACUCAUUCAUUGGCACCUGAGAGAGGUUUGGGGAAUUCAGCAAGCUUUCAACAAUCCAGUUUGAGAGAUUAUACAGAAUUAUGGCUCAGUCAGGUUCGUCCUAAUUUUAUUAGAUUUCCACCAUUUCUAAUUGCAUAAACAUAUGCAGCCAAAUAUACAGAUGGGGACUGGGAAGAUGUACAAGGACACUCAGAGUCUGUAGUCAGCUAAUUGGUGGACUAAGUAAUAGGGCACUUGGAAAGAUUGAUUAUUUUUUUCAGAGCAUUUCAGGAGAAAAUUCUGUCCCCAUUAAAACUGUAGCAAUCAAGAGAAGAAAGAUUUUAGCAGUAGAUUUUUUUGGAAAUGGAGAAAGAGACAGGCAUAAAUAUGCGACGCAGAAAAAAUCCAAGAUGAAUGAUGUUAUUUUGGGCAAGAUCUGCUAUUUUAGCCAUAGGAAGAAAGAUAGAGUGUCUCGAAAACAUAGAACAACUGGCUUGAUCCAUAGGGUAACAUCAGAAAUCUUUUGAUCAGGGCUAAAUACAACAGUUUCAAAUAUUGCCUGGGCAAAUGAGAAGUCAUUUUGUAUGAAUACUGUUACUGGUAGCAAAUGCCAGAUUGUAUAAAGUUUUCAGAAAUACUUUAUAUUUUCUUUUGGAAGAUAAAUGUUUAGCUAGGGCUAGGAAAGAUCUUGGGCCAUAACUCCCAUUUCUGGUCAAAUGAUACCAUCUGAGGUACUGGCAUAGCUGUUUAUAUGAGUACCUUCACAUAAAGUAACAUUGCUGUCCAUGCUUGUUCAGGAAUAAGCCAUGCUGUUGGCUUAUUCCCUACCAUCACAGCAGAAGGGGACGGGAGGGAAAAGUGUUUGCUCAGUUUUUUGUUAUGAACCAUCUUCAUCCAUGACACAGCAGCUGCACUAUGGAAUUCACCCUGGAUGAAUGGGAAUGCCAAUGUCUUCACCUCCUGAAGAGAGGACACAGCUCUCAGACUGAAUUAGCCACAGCUGGAUAGGUUGUUUUGAAAUCUCCACAAUUUUCAGACCUGGAAGAUUUUUCCAUCAUGCUGGCCUGGGGUAGGCAUUUGGUGGGUGAGUAAACUAUAAUUUGUUUUGUUUUGCCUUAUGAAGUAAGUGUAGAAAAUACACCAAAGUAGCUGGUCACAUAUUUGGACCUGGGCUUCUCACGAAAGUUCUGCAAAACCCUCUCAAAUGUCUGAAUAUUUACUAAGUAGGUCACGAAAUAUUUUCCAACAACAAAAAUACAAAUACAAAAAUACAAUAGAGUAAUCCUAUUGGGAUGUAGUUAUGUGCUAAUGACUUUAUUUUCUUCUUCCUCCUGUUCAGGCAGUAACAUGCAAAGUGACCACAGCACUGUUGUGAAAUUGCUGAUUAACCUUUUGACUCUGACAAUUGGGACUUCUCUUAACACCAAUUGGUAAUGCAAAAGACCAUUAGUAGUUAAUAUUGGGACACCCCACCUCCAGAUGCCAAAAGGUUAAUGAAAAAGCAAGUAUCUUGCUUUUACUGGGAAACUUGGAAACCUUCCCACCAAACAUUUCAUUUUUUGUGAUAAACAAGCCAGACCGCUUCAGCUGAGAAAGACGGGUGUUUUGCUAAUGUGUACAGCUGUUAAUUGAAAAAGAUUCUGUUAUGCCUGUUCUUCUGGACAUAGAUAAAAGAGAGAUUUGUUGGUGAACUUUAGUUGGUCCUGAACACCCCUUUGUCAAAAUACACUGCUCAAUAAUAACGCUUUGUUCUGUCUGUAACAGCCACGGAAGGAUUUUGAGUGGAAUACUCAUUUUCUUUAAGUCAUAUCUGCCAGUGAUCAUUCUUGGCUUAAGAUCAGCUGCCAUUUAUGUGUUUUAUGAAAAUAUAACACCAGUUUUAUGCUCAAAACUAUUCUUUUUUAGGUAAAAGCUUCAGCACAAACUGGUUCCCCAUAUGUACCAUAAAUGCUAUUUAUCACAGGUUUUGGUCUUUAAAACAGAAUGAUAAUGUUAAAACAUUUUCAUUACCCUUUCCUUACAGCUAUCAUUCACAAACCAUCUUUUAUAAUUAUGGUACUGGGACAUUUACAUAACUGGGAAAAAGGUCCUUAAACUACAUUUCUAUUAUGUUUGGCACUUGUGUGAAAGGAUAUUAUAUUCAUGUGCAUUAGAGAUUGCUUAUAAAAGAUCAAGACAAUAAUAGCAGAUCAGACGAUAAAGGUUCCCUUUUCUCCUCCCAGACAGGCUGUCUCUGACAGAAGAAUACAGUUCAUCAAAAGUGUCUGCAGGUUGUCAAACUCAGUGAGAUUUGGGGACACUCGGAGGCUGUCAUGGCCAACAAGAAGAUUUUCUGUAGGGUUCUGCCAUCAUUCACCCUCAGGAAAUAAUCACUCACUACAUUCUGCAUGCUCUCAUGAUAGAGCUCUAUUUGAGAGAAAAGAGCCAUUUUAUCAAAGGACAAUAUAUCCCUUCUCUUGGUCCAUGCAGCUUCCAUUAUCAGACCAUAAUAAAUCAUAUUUAUGUUCUCAGUUAAUAAGACUGAUUACAAUGCAGGUUACAGGCAUGGGAAAAGCAAAGCAGGUGAAAAGAUGUUUUAAUGAAAAUAUGAUAAGCAAACAGCUUCUUGUGAACAUUUCAGGCUGUUAUUUGUAAUGAUCACAGGCAAUUUUUGAUACAUCUUCUUUAGCAAUGGUUUAAGCUGCAUAAAUUGGCUUGCCACUUUAUACGUCGAAAUAGGAAGAAUCCCAGUGUCCUUCUUAUGUUGUCUAGAAUCAUUAUAUACAUUAUAAGCAUAAAAUGAGUUUAAUGUAUGUGCUUUGAAAAGAUGGGGAAAACAGAAAAUCAGGGAGGACUGAUUUUAAUGCUGCUCAAAAUGAUUUUGAAAUUUUCUGCACAUCUUUGUUACUAACGGUGCAUUUUCCAUGAAAUUUAGGGAUGACAUGUGGUGCUUUCAUCUCCUUAAAAUUAAUAUACUUCUCUUUCUGUUUUUCUCAGUUUCUUCAAAGUUCUUUUUAGAACACUGUGCAAAGAGACAGAGAGAAAAUUCUCCACUCGAUGUGUGAACAUAUCUGUUAUUAAUGCUGGGGGGGAGUUAAGUGUGUGCUUCUAGAGGAGAAUAUACCCCUGCGUUAAACACUGAAAUCAACCCUAUCAAAAAGGUGCAAGGAUAUUUAGCUGCAGCACACCUGAUGCAUUCAAGGGCCAAAUUCCUUAGAAUCUUUUAAAGUGAUCAAGAUCUCUUGUUAAGAGCGCUACAAUGAUUUCAGAAUAUAACUGUACUGAAGUAGCCGAGGAAGUGUCUUGCUCUUGUCUCGUGAAAAGCUUUCUUUUAUGUUUUAUUGUUGUUUUCUUUUUUUGCUGUAGUCAUUUGGUUUAUGUUUAGCAUCAUACUUUCAAGACAAAGUUAAAAAUUUAAAGAAUAAUUUCUUCCUGCUAGCACAUAAUGCUGACUAAGUAUUUCAAAAUCUACAGCACUUGCAGAAUGCAAGCAUUAUGCUUAUAAUGUAUAUAAUGAUUCCAGACAAUAUGAGAAGGACACUGGGAUUCUUCCUACUUUGAUAUAUAAAGUGGUGAGCAAACGCAGAAGUCUCCAUGGUGUUGUGUGUCUGCGGGAGCUGUUCUGGUCACUGAUACUUCUAAAGCUCCCUUAAACAAAUGUUAAAGCUUUGUAAUGGGCCUGGCAAUGGAGAAUGGCCAUGAAAUUCCCUUAACCCUUUUAGGGCACUUCAGCAGGAGAAGUGAUCACACAAGAAACAGUAAACUGCGCUUCAAAGGCAGCAUCCUGAUAUGACAACAGAUGUAGAUAAUGCACUUCAUGAUGAAACUGCUUGAUACAGAGAAAAACACAUUGUAACUGCCUUCACCCUGAAAGGGGUUUAAAAAUGCUGCCUGCCAACUCCACAAAAAACAGAGCUGCUAUUUCAGCUAAAGGCCAGUGGAUUGUAUUUUUCGUGUCAGUUUUCACUAACCUCAAACAUCACUGUUAUGACAGACUGUCAUCCAACCAAGCCAGCACUGUGGUGCCAUUCAGGCAAGAAAGAAGAAAGCAAACACAAAGGAAACUUAGAAGUCCGAGCAGUAAGAGCGGGUGUCUGUGAGUGCACUUUUGUGCAGCGAUACUGAUUACUGAAAAUGAAACACUUAAAAGAAAACAAACCCAAAAAAGUGAUUUCUGAGCCAUUGGUGUUUUCUUGCCUGGCAAUUUCUCUUUGUUCUGUUUCAUGACAUCAGCCUCAGUGGUUGAAAGGGUGUUCUGGGCCAGAUGUCAAUCACUAUGUCUGACAUAAACAAAAAUAGCUAAAAAGACAUGCCAGCAUCUUCCUUUUGUUUUCCCAUUAGCUCCAUUUUUCUUUUCAGAGGCUGACAAAAAAUUACUGCCUCCGAGUGAAUUCAGUAAUGUCACUAUAUAUCUAAUAUCUAGGAGACCUUUUGUUUUAGCUUUACUGGGCUUAACCACAAAAGACACUUGACAUUGACAAAGAGUCUGUCAAAUACACAAUGAUCAGUGCAGUGAAAUCUCUCAUGACAGAAGGGCACUAUUCUGCACCCCCAGCCUGCAGCAGCCUAUCUGAGUAAAAUGUGCUGGAGCACACGCAGCAGCUGAACCAUUGCAGAGCAGGCCAUAAGCUGAGAUGUGUCUUGUUUAAAGUGUCAUAGUAUAUUAGUGUAAUUAAAACCGCCAAAAGAAUAGAAAAGAUAGAUGGAAAUGUUACAUUACUUGUUUCUAGAGAUUAACCUCCAGCCAGAACUGAAAUACAGAGACACAUUUUGCAUGUCUUAGAGCUCUGAUAUGGAAGAAAACAAGCCUGAGUGUAUGUCUCUUGAAGUGUGAGACAUGAAGUCAUAGUUCCUGUAUUUACACAAUAAAGCAGAAACAGCGCUUCAGACAGGCACGCUGUUUUCUCUCUGAUUACAGCUCCCGUUGUGGCUGUACUCUGCAAAGCAGCUGUAUCAUCUCUCAGCUACUUCCCUUUUACUCUCACUGCCUUCGUGCUUGGAAGGUCUUGAGGACCCUUGGGCCUACUGAUGUGCUGGUGUCAAUGCCUUCUGCUCCCUUGGCAUCUGCCAGCGUUGCGUGGGCCCAGCCUAGAGGCAGAGCACCCUGUCCCUAUGGUGUCUGCAGAAGACACAGCUCAGCUCCAGACUCAGCAACACCCAGCUAGGAAGAUGUUUGAAGAAUGGCUUCAGUCUGACCUUUAUAUACCAGGCUGCAUGCUUGCUUCUCUGUUGAGUCUAUAGAUAAAACUGCAUGGCUUUCUGAAAUUGACUCUGAAAAUUAUGUUCCCAGCACUGCAUGUUUUCCUUCCCAUGCAUCAUUACCUGUGAUAACUAUUCAAGUUACGAUCUCUGUUCUAACCAUGAGGCAAGUUAUAUCUGGUGGUGAAAAACCCUUGGAGUUUUUAUGGACCUGUUCAGCUGUGUUGGCUGAACGUUGGUUUAUCCAGUAUCUGGAGAGGACCUCGUCUGGCUUCAGCAGUUCUGAAACAUACAAAAGCGGCAUGGCUUUCUUCUAAUGUAAGCCUUACAUUCAAGGAAAAGAUGCAUUAAUCAGGUAGGUCUCAUGUUCAUUUCUUCCACUAGAAAUGAACUUCAAGGCCUUGCCCCAUUAGUUGAUCACUUUGACGUCAAGAGAUGUUAAAUAUAGGUCUUACAUUUUAGGUUUCCUCAUGCUUCCUCUAUUUCCCAGCUUUAAAUAUCAGUUAAUGACUUCUCCAUAUAGCACUUCUCUUUAAUUUCUGGUCAGAGGCUGUAAAUGUGCACCGUUAGUCAAAAAUAUGUUAUCUGCUGUUAGUGUUGGCUUCUGGAGCCCUCACCACCAAGUUACCUCGCAGUCGCAUCUCUCCUCACAUGAUUUUCUGAGUACUGCCAGGAGAAGAAUGGAAAAUAACUAUGAAAUAAAAGCAGAUUCUGCUCCCAUUACAGGCAAUGAAAACUGUGCUUUUACUUCUACUUACUCAUAAUAGUGGGGGGAAAAAAUGAAGUGGAAACGAGCACAACAAAACACCUCUGCCAGCUAUCUAUAAGCUAACCAAGGCUUCCACUAAUGAGGUGGUCUGGCAUUUUGAGAAAGACAGGUUUUUCCAGAAAUGGAAAAAAUAUGCUGUUUUUUUUUUCCUUCAACUCUGAGAGCAUAGCAAGAGAGUAAGAAAUUGUAUUUCAAAAAGGGAUAGCAAACUUUUAAUGCUGUCUGUAUUAGUUAAUACUUACAGACACCGGUACAGUUUCUUGUCAGCUAGAUGUUUUUGCAUAUUUGUUUGUUAGAUUACUAAAUACUUUCCUAAAAAGUGGUUAUUUGCUGUAUUUACAGAUUCAUCUCAGUGACUGUGAAAUUCCUGAGGAUGUUAUUACUUUCAAGUCAGAUUAACGGAGUAAUUUCCAGUUACCACCUGUGAAGAGAUUCCUACCUAUCCUGGCAGGCAAUUGUUCAGUCUUAUUGAGCUUCAAAUAACUUUACAGCUUGAAAUUCUGAACAACCAUGCUACCAGAAUACAUGAUACUACUCUUAAAGUGGACCUCAGAAACUUUGAGAAAGAAAAUGAUUCCAUCUUUUUUGAUCAGGUUCUUCCUCUACAGGAGUUCCUGCAGCUACAGGACCAGGAGAUGUCCGAGGUCAAGAAAAGGUUAAAGUUGUUCACUGCUUUCAAGCUCUGGCCUUAGAAGUUAAUUCAGUGCUGUGCUGCGAGAGCUACAGAGUAAAUCCUUGGAACAGUGAAUUGCUGGUUUGAUAUCAAGCUCACGUCAACAUUUCUAUCAGAAAGAAUCACCAUAAUCACCAGAUAUAUUAGCAGAAACUGCUCCUUCCCAUUGACCACAUACGCCAAAAUCCUUGGAAACUCUUAAGCCGUGGACUUCCCCUGAAGACAUACAGAGAAAAUGGCUCAAGCAAACACUCCUCCCUUCCUUCAGUGGAGCCCAGGUCAGCUGUGACAAGCAUCUGCUCUGUGGGUAGGUGCAAAAUACACGACAAAGAUAUCGGCCGUGGAUCCCUUCUGUAAACGAUGACCUCAUCCGGAGGUUAUGGGACCUUCACGAGGAUACCAGUCGUACUCCUCCAUGGCGAUGUGUUACAGUAAGUAAUUCGCUUCCUGGAUGCACUUGUAACAGGCAGCUAUCCUAACAACACAGGAUACGCAGACAUGUCCAGGUCUUUAAAAAGUCUUCCAAUGCAAUUAUUAAGGUAUUACGUGCUGAUAAUGCCACCAAAAACAUUGAGCAUGCUGUUCAUUCAGUUGGGCAUGAAACUACUUCCUUCUGAAUAUUUUAAAUGUACUUGGCUAAUUAAUUAAACAAUUAAUAAGGGCUACAGUUAAGUUUCUGUUUUUCAUUGUAACAAAUUAUUCCAGAGCAUUGUUUUUACUGAAUUCUGCAUAGGACUCUUUUUGGACACCACACCGAAGUGCAGCUACGAUGUUAAAAGAAAAAUGUUCCUUUGACAAAUGAAAUCUUUAAAAUGGCAACAAGCAAGGAAAAAGUCAGCUCUGAGUGGAAAACAUUUAAUAUGUUUUGAUGAUUUCUUAUCUCAGACAGAAGAGAAGACAAGUUGAUUUUCUCUGCUGAAACUUUUUGAAGUGAGUUCUGACUGAAAAGAUGUGGUGGUGUUUUAACAAAAACAUAUUGUUAUAAAACAUGAUGUAUGCUCAGAAGUAUUAAUGUGUACCUCUCUGCUUCAGGUUUGAACAUUUCAGUCGAGUGAACUAGCCUGUUCCAUUUAUUUUUUAAAUUCUUAUCCAGUUGAUCUUUUUUUUGUUGUUCUUUAAGUUUACAGUAGUUCAAUGGCUACUUUUAUCUCUGAUUUAGGCUUUCAAACAGCACCAAACUCUGCCGUCCCAUCCUGUAAUCUGUCCAUUUAUUAUGGUGACUGGUGAACAGAGGCAACAUGUUAGUGCAAGCACUGUAAAAAUAUCUGUGGAGAAAACAUUCUUUCACUCUAAAGGAUAAGUUCCAUAAGAAUGUAUAUUCUCCAGUAUUUGCAAAAGUACGGUACGGAUUUUUCUUGUUAAAGGUGGCAAUGUCUGAAUCGCAAAUAAUUUCACGUUUAUAUGAGAGACAAUAUAUCAUUUUACAGAUCUGUAAUCAUGGAAAUCAAUGGCCAGUAUCCAUUUAAGAAAAUCGAAAUAAUUUAACUGAUUUACUUAAACAAUGCCUUGUUAGACUACGGAAUUUAAAGUCCUCUUUCAAAAUGAAGGUUGUUUUAAGUAGUGAACUUAUUAUUACAUACUACAUUCUAGUGGCACGUAAACACUUCUGAUUUAAAACAUGAAUUCCGUGUAAGUUCAAACUGAUGUCUUUGACUUUAGUUACAGAACUCAAUUUCAGGACUUUCUGCUGCUGGUGGCUGUAUAUCAGUUCUUCCAAUAGGGAUGUGCUCAGGACAAAUUAGUGAACGUAAUUUUAGCUGUAUGAGGUCAUUACAAAUACAGCCUUAGCUCUUCCUAGAGUGGACUUCAUUGUUAAUAUAAAUAUAUAUCUAUAGUUACUGACAUUUAUAUUAUUUGGCUCCUGUCCUAAGUUAUGGAUACAGUGAUGAUAAAAGCCCUUACCUAAGUGAGUCAUGCUUACUAAUUACUUCCAUGGUACUGGGUUCCUGUAAAUAAAGUUACUCAUGUAUUUAUAAGCAAGUCAAAAUUUAUACAUAUGUUUCUAAGAGUGAGUUAUCUUUCUCUCUGGGGCAAACAGCACAGUCUGCUGUUUGGAAAAGAACACUGAGAGUAAGGACAUCCAGGGUGCUUCCUCGCUUCUGCAAGGGUGCGUGCUCUCCUCUGCCAUUGGAUAUCCAACUAAAAUACUUAAUUUGGUCACAUUUUUUAAACUGUUUAAGACCCUUCUGCAUUACUUCAAGGUAGGAAAUGGCUGUUGAUUUUUCCUCGCUGUUUCCAAAGAGGCUGCGGUAAGAGGGUUUCAGUCUAAUUGUUUGCUCUAAAGAUGUAGCGUUCAAGACACAAAGCCUAGCAGUGUGACGUGGAAGAUCUCAAGACAAAGCAGCAGCCUCAACAUCUCUCUCUAAUGAGAACAGGAAAAGACAAUUGAGAUCCCGUAGGAAUGCAGUAUAUUUAGGAGAGAAGCAGAGCUCCUUUCACGAAUGGAGAGAAAACCCUGGUGAAUGCUGGACUACCUGCUAUCUCUGGGUGUGACUAGGUGAGUGAAGGAUUUGGAUCACAGCCUGUAACGUUUUCCAGACAUUUAGAGUGCAACUACUACAACUACUACGCCAGCAAUUUUAUGCCUUCCUUUCCCUGACUCCAACAGUAUGUGAGAUAAGCAGCCAGAUUUUCUUCUGCAUUGUGUUUUUUUAUCCAUUCAGCCAAAAUUAACAGUCUUCAAGGAUAAUGUAUGCCAAGCGAAUUUAAAUCUUGCGGACUCAAAUCGACCUAAAGUUGAUGGAUACAUUCAUGCCUACUGCUGAAAUCUACCAAUUACACAGAACUAUGCUAACUUACCAUAGAAACAUCUCAUCUAAUAGCACAGAUGAUGUUGAACUAACUAAUUACAUUAUGGCACAUAGACAAUGAAAAACAUAACGAAGAUGACAGCACAGCAACAACAGAUGCUGCACAAAAGAAAAAUUAGAAAAAUAUUGCUCUGCAAAAUGCUGUCUGUUAAGGUUUCUUCUGUUAAAAUUAAUCACAAAAAUUAGUGAAGAUUAGAUUUCAGCAGAAGAUACGAGCAUUGUAAUGCUAUUUGGAAAACGUCAUUAAACCAUUUAAAGUCCUACUCUUUCAGAAGGUAAUUCCCCCCCUUUUUUUUUUGUAUCACUGUCGGCUUUAAGAUGAGUAAACAGUUCAGUGCCGAUGGCAGAGUUUCUUGGGAGGAUGUCUUUCCCAGUGAGGAGAGGUCCCGAUGGCUCUUCCAGAGCCGUGUUUGGUAGCUUCCAGCCAUUAGAGCUUAGAUAAUUAGGCAACUCAGAUUUUAUUUUAGCUUGGCAUUUGCUCUGUUCUGUGCUCUUGGCUGUCAGUGACAGUUGAUUAUCUGUAGCGUGCCUUGUUACUUUAUAUAUUUUAAACUGUAACAGAUCCUAAAUACCAAAUCUGAAACUGCUGAGUAUGUUUAAAUGUAAUAUAUACAUGGGGAUUACAUCCAGAUGAUGUACUUCAUAGACCUGUGAUAAAAAAAAAUGCAUCACUUCUAGCCCACGCCGGUCCUCACCCCCUCCCCCGGUAGCUUUCCAUGAGCUCCCGGCUGCUUCAGCACCGAUCCUGAACGUAAUCCAGCUGAUGGAGAGAGACAGAAAGGGGCUUUUCCCCUAAAUAUAUAUUUCCUCUAAAAAUACCUCUGAUGCUGCUCAAGUUUCAAUACCU
ensembl:lncRNA